rnacentral:misc_RNA from 1 species
GUGUUCAUGGUCUGCGGCGACACACCCCUCCCAUACCUAUUAUUAUUAUCUUUCAUUUUCUUUUGUCUCGCCCUCACAACCCGCCCAUUUUCCACGUUCAACCAACCUCACCUCGUUUCCUAUUUGGUGCACACCAGUUGGCGCGCGAGUGGGCGUCUUCUUGCGUCAAGUGUGCGGGUGCGUUCCCUGCCCCCUCUCCCCACUACCAGACGCUCACACACGCACAGCCACACUCACCGACACAUACGAGCGCUUGAGCAAAGUACAACGAAGACGACAAGCGAGGCAAGAGAAAGGGGCUACACAAGGUAAAACGCAUACAAACAGAGAUAGAUAGCCACACAGCCAACACACGCCGUCGUGCAUAUAGAGAUCGACCCGUGCCUCUCCCCACCGCGCUCGCUCGCGCGCGUUCUCUCCAGACACGCAAGACCCCAUAAGCGUACCUACAGCUGCACUCAAGCAUACCUAUACGCAGGAAGCGUCAGCGUGCUUCCAGCAGGAGAAAAAAUGGGCAAAACCGUCGAACAGAUUUAUCAGAAGAAGACGCAGCAUGAUCACAUUCUCACGCGUCCUGACAUGUACAUCGGCACAAUUGAGCCGGUGACAGACGACAUCUGGGUCUAUGACGAUGCAGAGAACACUAUGAAGCAGCGCAAGUGCACCUGGACACCCGGGCUGUACAAGAUCUUUGAUGAGAUACUGGUCAAUGCGGCAGACAACAAGGUACGCGACCCGAUUGGCCAGACCGUCAUUCGGGUGUGGAUGACGGAGAACUAUGUGCGAGUGUACAACAACGGCGAGGGCAUCCCAAUCCAGAAGCAUCGCGAGCACGAUCUCUGGGUGCCGGAAAUGAUCUUCGGGCACCUUCUUACCUCCUCCAACUAUGACGAUGAGGAGGCAAAGGUGACGGGCGGGCGCAACGGCUUCGGCGCGAAGCUGACGAACGUAUUCUCGAAGCAAUUCGAGGUCGAGACCGUGCACAGCCGCUCUCGCAAGAAGUUCUACAUGAAAUGGGCGAACAACAUGCUGCAACACGACGACCCCGUUAUCGUGCCGUGCGACAGCGCCGACUACACCAUGGUCACCUUCUACCCCGACUUUGCACUCUUCCACGUCGAUAAGUUUAGCGAGGACAUGCUGCUGAUGAUGAAGCGGCGCGUGUACGACGUCGCGGGGUGCACCGACAAGACACUCAAGUGCUUCCUGAACGAUGAGCGCAUUGCCUGCACCACCUUCCCGGAGUACGUCGACCUCUACCCCACCAUGGGCGAGGAGAGGAAGGCGGCGAGCUACUCGCGCGUGAAUGACCGGUGGGAGGUGUGCGUGCGGGUGUCGAACAUUGGGCCGCAGCAGGUGAGCUUCGUCAACUCCAUCGCCACCACCCGCGGCGGCACACAUGUCAAGUACAUCAUGGACCAAAUCAUCUCCAAGGUGGUGGAGCAGGCCAAGAAAAAGAAGAAGACAGACGUGAAGCCGCACAUGAUUAGGCCGCACAUUUUUUUAUUCGUCAACUGCCUAAUUGAGAACCCCGGCUUCGACUCGCAGACAAAGGAGACGCUCAACACGGUCAAGAGCAAGUUCGGCAGCACGUGCGACCUGCCCAACAGUAUCGUCGACUACAUCAUGAGCUCCGGCAUUGUUGAGCGCUCAGUCGAGAUGGCUAACAGCAAGAUCGCAAGGGAGAUGGCGUCCAAGAUGAGGUCGUCGGACCGGAAACAGAUCAUGGGCAUCCCGAAGCUAGACGACGCCAACGAGGCGGGCGGCAAGCACAGCCACCGCUGCACGCUCAUCCUCACAGAGGGUGAUUCAGCCAAGACACUCUGCACGGCCGGCCUGGCGGUGAAGGAUCGGGACUACUUUGGCGUGUUUCCGCUGCGCGGCAAACCCCUCAACGUGCGCGAGGCGUCGCUGAAGAAGCUGGCGGCCUGCGAGGAGAUCCAGUGCGUUAUGAAGAUUAUGGGGCUCGACAUUCGCCAAAAGUACGAGAACGCAGACGGGCUGCGCUACGGUCACCUUAUGAUCAUGUCCGAUCAAGACCAUGACGGGUCGCACAUCAAAGGGCUGCUCAUCAACUUCAUUCACUGCUUCUGGCCGAACCUGCUGCGGGUGCCUGGCUUUCUUCAGCAGUUUAUCACGCCGAUUGUGAAAGCCCGACCAAAAGGCCGCGGCGGGGCCGGCAAGGCCAUCUCCUUCUUCUCCAUGCCGGACUACUUCGAGUGGAAGAAGGCGAUUGGCGACAACCUGAGCAAUUACCAAAUUCGGUACUACAAGGGUCUCGGCACGUCCGGCGCUGAGGAGGGCCGCGAGUACUUCGAGAACAUCGACCGGCACCGCCUCAACUUUGUGGAGCAGGAGCAGAGCGAGGAGGACCGCAUUGUCAUGGCGUUUGGCAAGGACCGCGUCGAGGACCGCAAGGAGUGGAUCACGAACUUCAAGACGAACGUGAACGUGAAUGAGUCGAUGGACUACAACGUGCGCCAGGUGUCGUAUCGAGACUUUGUGGACAAGGAGCUGAUUCUCUUCUCCAUCGCCGACUGCGAGCGCAGCAUCCCGAGCGUGAUUGACGGCUUCAAGCCCGGCCAGCGCAAGAUCCUGUUCUCCUGCUUCAAGCGCAACUUGGUGAACUCCAUCAAGGUGGUGCAGCUUGCCGGCUACGUCUCGGAGCACUCCGCAUACCACCAUGGCGAGCAGUCGCUUGUGCAGACGAUCGUCGGAAUGGCGCAGGACUUUGUGGGCAGCAACAACGUCCCGCUGCUGCGCAAGGAUGGCCAGUUCGGUACGCGUCUGCACGGUGGCAAGGACCACGCCGCGGGCCGCUACAUCUUCACCCGGCUCAUGCAGGUCUCCCGGGCCAUCUUCCACCCGGCCGACGAUUUUGUGGUCGAGUACAAGGACGACGACGGUCUCUCGGUGGAGCCUUUCUUCUACAUUCCGGUCAUCCCGAUGGUGCUGGUGAACGGCACGACGGGCAUCGGCACCGGGUUCAGCACAAGUAUCCCGAACUACAACCCGCUGGAGAUCAUCAGCAACCUCGAGCGCCUCAUGCGGGGCGAGGAGGUGCACAAGAUGCAGCCGUGGUACUUCGGCUUCACCGGCACAAUGGAGGAGAAGGAGCCGGGCAAGUUCGUCUCCCACGGCAGGUACGAGAUACGCCCGGAUGGGGUGGUGUGCAUCACGGAGCUGCCGAUCGGCGUGUGGACGCAGGCGUACAAGAAGUUCCUGGAGGACAUGCGGGAGAAGGAGCUCGUGGUGCAGUACCGCGAGCACACGACGGAUGUGACGGUGGAUUUCGAAGUGUUUCUGCAUCCCCAGGUGCUGGAACAGUGGGUUUCGCAGGAUGUCGUGGAGGAGCGGCUGCAGCUGAAGGAGUACGUGCACGCGACGAACAUCAUCGCUUUCAACAAGGAGGGCCAGAUCACCAAGUACUCGGACGCGGAGUCGGUGCUCAAGGAGUUCUAUCUCGUGCGCCUCGACUACUACGCGAAGCGCAAGCAAUACCUCUUGGGUGAGCUGCGUCGGCUGACGAGCAAGCUGGAGAACAUGGUCCGCUUCGUGCGCGAGGUGGUGGAGGGCACGCUCGUUGUGACCAAGCGGAAAAAGAAGGAGCUGCUCGAGGACCUGCAACGGCGCAUGUAUCUGCCCUUCCCGCCCUACACAAAGAAGAAGCUGUCUUCGACAACCGUGGAGGAGGGGGACGGCGAGGGGGCGCCCGACGCGCAGAACAGCGAGGAGGACGUGCUGGGCAUGGGGAACGCCGCCGAUGGUGGAGCAGACGACGGCGCGGCAGAGCCGCCGGAGGUGCGUCGUGCCACUCGCGACUACGACUACCUGCUUGGCAUGAAGCUGUGGAGCCUCACGGCGGAGAUGAUUGCGCGGCUGGAGGCGCAGAUGGACCGGGCCCGCCGCGACACUGCCACGAUGGAGGCCCGCACACCGAAAGAUAUGUGGAUGGAGGACCUCAAGGUGCUGCGCACCAAGCUGGAGAGCUUCUACGCGGACCGCGAAGUGGAGAUUGCUACCAUUCAACGCAAGAAGGUGAAGAAGCCGUUUGACGCUCGACGACUGCGCGUGCCGAUCUUGUCCGACAAGGCGCGCUCUCUGCUGCAGAAGGAGGCGGAGAAGGCUCUGAAGGCGAACGGCGUCGGCGGCCGCCGUCGCGUCGGCGGUGGCGAUGACGCGCUUGCCGGCGGAGCUGCCUCGGCCCUUGGCGAGGCCGCGCGGCCGAAGCCGAAGAAGGCCGCGGCGAAGAAGCGACGCAAGGCAAAGGACAGCGAUGAUGACGACAGCGACUCCGAUGAGGAGUGGAUGUUUGACAACAACGACGAUGACGAUGAGGGCGAGAACAUCGUCGGUAUGGGUGAUGCCGGAGCGCCGCCGGUGCCGGAGAGGGCACGGGCGUGCGACUCCCCGAAGAGGCCCCGCGCAGCUCCGAAGCGCCACGCAGCAUCGCAGCCGCGCAAGAAGGUGCGUAACAGCGACGACGACGACGACUCAAGCGACAGCAGCAACAGCGGCAGCUCCAAGCCAGUGAGGCGCAGGCCCAAGAAGGAGGCGACAUCGUCAGUCACUGCUGCCGCUACGAAGACUUCGGCUGAUGACCUUGACCUGGACGGCUUCGGACUCGAUGCGCUCACCUCCGCUCCAGCGGCGAGCGCCGCUCCGAAGAUGGCCAUGACUGCCGCGUCCCUGUCAAACGGCGGUGCAGCGCGCUCCACAAAGCCCACCGCAGACGCCGACGAUGAUCUCCUCCUGCUGGGGCUCGGCAAGGCGAAGACAAAGACAGCUCCACAGGCUGCCACAGCAGCCAGCAGGAGGGCCACUGUCGCCUCUGUCCGCCCUACAAAGCCGCACGCGAAGCCGGCUGCUCGGCGGCGACGCCGCGGCGGCAGCAGCGACUCGAGCGAUGAUGACGACGAAGACAGCACCGAUGCGUCGGCGUCGUCAUUGGAGGAGUCCUCCGCGUCAUCCGACUCCGGCUCCGACUACAGCUUCAGUGACUAGAGUUAGCAGUCGCACAGGGCGAUUGCGAAGCUGGCGAAGGCAUGUCUCUCCUGAGCGCCCCUGCGUCUUCACAUACCGACUUUUUCGGAGCCGAGUCGCGAGUGCGAACUCGCACACAUACACAGGCACAGAGGGAGACACGUCGAGUACUUGGUCAUGCGUACGCAAGCACGAAGGACAGGCUCCAGUCGGAUGAGCCCCCUUCCUCCCUUGGCACAUGCACACAAACGCUCUUCUUUUCUGCAGCUUGUCGUCGCACCGCGCGCCGUCUUCUGUCGUCCUCACCACUUCCUCAUUGGGCUGGCACGGGCCACACGCGCGGGCGUGUACUCGCCAUCAUUGGGAUGGGGUGCUUCAGCGAUGAUGUGAUGUGGCAAACGCCCUGGAGCUCUGAGGAUCCGCAAAUGGACAU